rnacentral:rRNA from 1 species
UACGUAGGGAGCAAGCGUUGUCCGGAAUUACUGGGCGUAAAGCGUGCGUAGACGGUUAUUUAAGUCGGAUGUGAAAGCCCCGGGCUCAACCUGGGAAUUGCAUUCGAGACUGAAUAGCUAGGGUACGGUAGAGGGAAGUGGAAUUUCCGGUGUAGCGGUGAAAUGCGUAGAUAUGCGGAGGAACACCGAUGGCGAAGGCAAUCCCCUGGACCUGUACUGACGCUCAUGCACGAAAGCGUGGGGAGCAAACAGGAUUAGAAAACCCCGGUGUCA